rnacentral:rRNA from 1 species
AUGGCGGCGGCCGCAACAGCAGGAGCGGUCCCUCCCAGCCGCGGCCUUCCGGACGAGAUCUCCAUCUGGGAGAUCCUCGUCCGCCUGCCCCCAAGAUCCCUCCUCCGCUGCCGCGCCGUCUGCCGCGCCUGGCGCUGCGCCACAUCCACCCGCGACUUCCUCCUCGCCCACCACGCCCGCCAGCCCACCCUCCCCAUCCUCUGCGACUCCAAACUCCUCGACAAGAAAGGCUACUCCCUAGAUAUAAUCCCCUUCGACCACCGGGCCGCUGACGCUGACCAGUUCCAAUCCGUCGCGCGAUUUCGCGGCACCUCCUACGGUCUGGUGGCCUGCUGCGACGGCCUCUUCAUCCUCGCCGUCAACAGGAUAUUCUGGGCAAUUUACAACCCGGCAACUCGUCAGUAUGCUCCUCUCUGGAUGCUUUCAGGCUACAGGAUUUUCGGAAUGUAUCCUCACCCCGCUACCGGCGAGUACAGACUACUCAUGAACCCUCACCAGAGGUGGCAAUAUGGAAUUGAACCUAAGAGUCAAGUUUUCUGCUAUGUCUUAUCAUUGGGCUCUGGCCAGCCGCCGAGGCACAUUGAGUAUGCCGACGCCAAUGAACUGGGCAACCGUUCAGUGCUAUUACGUGGUUGCUUGCAUUGGUACCAAAUGGACCAUUGGAUCGAAAACAGCACGAUAAUCGUGUUUGACACCACAGCCGAGUCGUUCCGGAAGAUGGGUGCUCCGGUUGUUUCUGGCUUGGGUGACCUGUUUGAGAUGGAUGGCAUGCUCGGCAUCUCCAGCUUUAACCGUGCAGCAACAAAAAUUGAUAUUUGGGUAUUGCAGGACUAUCAAAGCGAGAUCUGGACCUUCAAGUGCCGGAUUGAAUUGCCGGUUACACAGAUCAAGACACGGUGUGGAAAUCAUGACGAUGACAUAUUUUGUCAUGUGGUGGUCAUGCCUGGGGAUGGUCUUCUUUUUUCUGGGAGAUUAUCUAGUGGCCUCCUGUUCAGUAAUCUACAUGUGCUUCAUGUUCUUGGUUCUCUUCCAGCUAACGACAAAAUGUGGCAGAUUGCACAUUUGUUCACCUGA